UGGGGAAUAUUGCACAAUGGGCGAAAGCCUGAUCCAGCCAUGCCGCAUGAGUGAAGAAGGCCUUUGGGUUGUAAAGCUCUUUUAGUGAGGAAGAUAAUGACGGUACUCACAGAAGAAGUCCUGGCUAACUCCGUGCCAGCAGCCGCGGUAAUACGGAGAGGGCUAGCGUUAUUCGGAAUUAUUGGGCGUAAAGGGCGCGUAGGCUGGUUAAUAAGUUAAAAGUGAAAUCCCGAGGCUUAACCUUGGAAUUGCUUUUAAAACUAUUAAUCUAGAGAUUGAAAGAGGAUAGAGGAAUUCCUGAUGUAGAGGUAAAAUUCGUAAAUAUUAGGAGGAACACCAGUGGCGAAGGCGUCUAUCUGGUUCAAAUCUGACGCUGAAGCGCGAAGGCGUGGGGAGCAAACA
rnacentral:rRNA from 1 species